GCGUACGUUUUUGGAACAUAUCCCGAGGUGUUUUGAUACUCGAUCCAGUCCUUACGGGUGCAGCAGGUGGAUAUCUUCACAUUUCAGGUAUCUGUGAUGAGGAUACUCCAAUUGUAUCAUUAUUUGUAGCUUUCUUGAGUUUAAUCGCUCAUGGAAUAAGGUCUGGGAAAGACCGGUGCCAGCCGCCCUGGUUAUACCGUCAUGCUUCAAGUGGUUCUUCGCGUAUAAUUUGGUCUCUUAUACGUCCUGUAGCCUUUUUUGGUAAAUCUUGUGGGUUAAAUUCAACCAAGCUUAACUGUGUUUGAAUUUCUGCAGUAGACUGCCAUAUUAGGGACCGUGAGAGUUUUGGGGUACUCUAGGGUUAGGGUUAAAAUCCUGUCAUCUUUAGAGGACCACCAGUUUCUACGGCGCCACAUCUGGAACGGAUCCGACGGUCAGGGACGAAGCCUAGGGGCACGAACCGGAUUAGAUACCCGGUUAGUCUUAGUUGUAAACGCUGUGAACUUGGUGUCGGGGAUCCGUAAUGGGUCCUCGGUGCCGGAGUGAAGAUGUUAAGUUCACUGCCUGGGGAGUACGGUCGCAAGGCUGAAACUCAAAUGAUUGACGG
rnacentral:rRNA from 1 species